CCGCCUGGGGAGUACGGCCGCAUGGCUAAAACUCAAAGGAAUUGACGGGGGCCCGCACAAGCGGCGGAGCAUGCGGAUUAAUUUGAUGCAACGCGAAGAACCUUACCAAGGCUUGACAUACACCGGAUCGGCUCAGAGAUGGGUUUUCCUCCUUGUGGGGCUGGUGUACAGGUGGUGCAUGGUUGUCGUCAGCUCGUGUCGUGAGAUGUUGGGUUAAGUCCCGCAACGAGCGCAACCCUCGUUCUAUGUUGCCAGCACGUGAUGGUGGGGACUCAUAGGAGACUGCCGGGGUCAACUCGGAGGAAGGUGGGGAUGACGUCAAAUCAUCAUGCCCCUUAUGUCUUGGGCUUCACGCAUGCUACAAUGGCCAGUACAAUGGGUUGCGAUACCGUGAGGUGGAGCUAAUCCCAAAAAGCUGGUCUCAGUUCGGAUCGUGGUCUGCAACUCGACCACGUGAAGUCGGAGUCGCUAGUAAUCGCAGAUCAGCAACGCUGCGGUGAAUACGUUCCCGGGCCUUGUACACACCGCCCGUCAAGUCACGAAAGUUGGUAACACCCGAAGCCGGUGGCCUAACCCUUGUGGGGGGAGCCGUCGAAGGUGGGACUGGCGAUUGGGACUAAGUCGAAUCAAUUUCGGAG
rnacentral:rRNA from 1 species